rnacentral:lncRNA from 1 species
ACAAAUGCGAUGUCACAAAGGGUAACUGUAUGGUGCAUAUAAAGGGUUAACUUGAGGGGCCUGCUGGAGAAGUAGCUCCCACAUAAGGAUGACUGUUGCUUCUCCUUUGUCUUCAAUUGUAAGUAAUAAAUCCACUAGUUAUCUGUACCUGUUGCCUUGACUAUUCUACUUGAGCAUAAUCGUAUGAAUGAAAGAAAAAAAAAACCCACUAUUUUUAAAUGAUCAUUCUCCUUAUGCUCUAUGCUGGGACUCAGAGCCAUCUAGGAGGCUGUUGUUUGGAAAGCUUUGCCUGUAAAUCCAUCAUAUGCGUGGAUUCAGGAGUAGGAGUGGAAUCAACAUGUUAUUGAUAUAAGCAAGGCAAGAAAACUAUGGCACUGAAAGUUUAAGUUUAAUAUCCUGAUUUUCAUAGUCAAAAUGUCACCAAGACAAAAUUCAAAGAACGUUGGACUGUACUCCAAAAGAGAACACGCAACUCCUCACAGAUUGUUGCCUAAGCACGUAGUAGGCUUGGUAAGAAAAAAAGUGCCAUCAUGUCACCUUCAUUUAUGUUAGAAUGGGUUGACAAGGCCAGUUUUAGAGUGUGGAUUCUUGUCAUCUAUCAAAUAGCAGUAGAAAAUCAGGAAGAAGUAAGUAGCCUUUCUUGAUGAUGAUAAGUUAUUACUAUAGGACAACUCUGUCUUCCCCUGGCUGCUUCUAAUCACCCCACCAAUCCCAUGUCAGAAUUACCCAUCUGAAGCCAAAACAAGGGGAAAAAUGUGAAACUAACAUACGUCAUACAUAAAGAUACAGUUUUAUGAAUAAUUUUUGAAACAG